ACAAUGAUCAAUGGAGCUAUGUAAACAGCAGACACCGAGAAGGAGCAGGCUGGCCUCCCAUCUGGAGCCUCACAGACACUGAAGACAGCAGCAGCUGGGGGUGUAUUUCGAAGGCGGGGGAUGACUAUCAAGUAUGAGCCAGAUGAGACCUCCAGGGUGACCUGGAAUUACAGAGGCCACUCAUUCUCGGAAUAGGGUUAUGAAAACUGUAAUAUUGUAGAGAUGAAAAGGACCUAUGAAGACCACCUGAUCUGUC